GCUCUCUCCUCUCUUAUCGCCAAAACCCCCGGCCGGAGCAGCGGCAGCGGCGAGCAAGGCUCACCGGCGCCCCCCCUCCCCCCUCCCUCGACCGCGGGCGCGCGCGGAGAUGCGGCCGUCGCCCAUGGCGGCAAGGGCGGCGAGCGGGUGCUCCUCGGCGGCGCUGGCCUUCUUCCGCAUCCGCCCGCUCGGCCGCGCCGCCCGCCUGGGCCCCGCGGGCCGCUCCGCGUUCGGCGCCACUGCCGCCUGCCGGGGCCGCCUCGUCGACUCCGUCCUCCAGGAGCUCCGGUCCCGGAGGCGGGUCCGGGUCUCCGCAAGGAUAGGAUUGCAGGGCACAAAGGAACUGUCGGAUAGUAAGAUAGAGAAGAGAACAAUACAAAAAGGAUUGCUGCUUGAAUUUCACAAAGACUCUGAGAGAUCCUUGCUCGCUGUUGUCGAAAGGCCUGAUGGGAAGAAAAACUGGGUAGUCACUGACCAGAAUGGUAUCUUAUCUUCUAUAAAGCCCCAGCAGGUGACAUAUGUUGUACCUGGUACCAUGGAUUUUGAUUGUUCAAGAAUAGCUGAAUUUCUCGAGAAAGCGCAAGAUCUCUUGGACCCUACUAUCUUGGAAUGUGCCUGGAUGGAGCUUUCUGAGAAGGACAAAUCAGUAACUGUUGAGGAGUUUGCCGAUAUAGUUUAUGGCAGCAAGGAGUCUCUGGAAAGCUACUGUGCACACUUUUUGUUGUCACGGGAUAUUGUUUAUUUUGUGAAGGUGGAGAGCAGAGGCUCUUCCAUAUACCAGCCUCGCCCAUCUGCUCAGGUGGAUGAACUUUUACGACGGAAGCUUGCUAAAGAGGCCGCCGAUAAGGAACUGGAAGAAUUUGUCCACCUACUCAAGUCUGCUAAAGCAUUGCCUCUAGGCUCUAAGCCUCCAAAAAAUUCAUGGUUGAUGGAAGAGAAAGUGAAACAAAAAAUCGAGUCUCUUCAGGCAUAUGCAGUUGAUGCGUGUAAUGAUGAACAAAGAAGAAUGGCAGGAAAUAUUCUCAAGGCUAUGGGUUUUGCACGGACGUCAUCAGCUGCCCUAAAGCUCCUUAUAAAUGUGGGUUACUUCCCCGUGCAUGUCAAUCUUGAUCUUUUCAGGUAUGAUGUUCAAACCACGUAUACCGAGAAAGUUUUGUCUGUUGCUGAGGAGCUUCUGGUGGAUUGUCCUGAUUCAGAUAAGCAUGUCAGGAAGGAUCUUUCAAAUUUGAGAGUGUAUGCCAUUGAUGUGGAUGAGGCUGAUGAACUUGAUGAUGCAUUAAGUGCAACUAGACUACCUGAUGGUAGGAUAAAGAUCUGGAUACAUGUAGCUGACCCAACAUGCUUUCUUCAACCCCGGAGCAUCCUUGACAGGGAAGCAAUGCACAGAGGAACCUCCAUAUUUUUACCAACUGCCACCUUUCCAAUGUUCCCAGAGAGGCUUGCUAUGAAUGCUAUGAGUUUGCAACAGGGUACAGAUUGUAGAUCUGUAAGCGUAUCUGUGAUUUUGCAUCCAGAUGGAAGUAUUGCAGAAUAUUCGAUAGAGAACUCAGUAAUCAAACCUACCUACAUGUUAACAUAUGAGGGUGCAACUGAAUUGCUGUACAUGAAUCUGGAAGAAGAGGAAGACCUGAGGAUUCUUCAAGAAGCUGCUUCAAUUCGUGCACAAUGGCGUCGUAGCCAGGGUUCAAUCGACACUGCUAUGAUAGAACCUCGUAUCAAGGUGGCAAAUCCUGAUGAUCCUGAACCAAACAUUAAUUUAUAUGUUGAAGAUCAAACCAACCCAGCAAUGCAGCUUGUAUCUGAGAUGAUGAUACUUUGUGGGGAGGCGGUGGCUGCGUUUGGUUCUGACAACAACAUUCCUUUGCCAUACAGAGGGCAUCCCCAGUCUAAUACAGCUGUGUCAGCAUUUGCCUAUCUACCUGAAGGGCCUGCCAGGAGCGUUGCCAAUAUCAGUGUGCUUCGUGCUGCAGAAAUGGAUUUUCGAAAACCUGUCGCACAUGGUGUCCUCGGAAUUCCUGGCUAUGUACAGUUCACCUCCCCUAUUCGAAGAUAUGUCGACCUGCUUGCUCAUUAUCAGGUAAAGGCUUUUCUUAGAGGUGAAUCUCCACCAUAUUCAGCUGGUGAUCUGGAAGGGAUGACAUUUAUUGCGAGCAUGCAUGUUAAAGUAGCUAGGAAGCUCCAUAGCAACAGCUUACGUUACUGGUUGCUGGAGUACUUAAGGAGGCAGCCAAAGGGGAGGAAGUAUAGAGCACUCAUACUUAAGUUCAUCAAGGAUCGCAUGGCAACAUUGCUUUUGGUGGAUGUCGGGAUUCAGGUCACAACUGUGGUUGCAGCCGGGAAGGUGGGAGAUGAAGCAAGUGUCGUUCUGGAAAUGGUUCAUCCCCGCGACGACAUCUUAUCAGUUACGGAGAUUGCACAAGACACGGAGGAGUAAAUGCUCGCAAUGGGUAAUGGACGCUCAUUGCCUCGUUCCCUGGACACUUAGGCGAUUCAUUUUUGGUGCUCAUGAUGGAGGUGAUUCAUUACCUUGGCACUCAGGCGAGGAUCUCCCCUUCAGGACCAUGCUCUCAAGUUCGGUAUCAUGCCUGGGAUUAUGGAAUAGAACGUGUAUGGUCGCCCUGUGAACGUUUGAGCAGGCUAACCGUCUCGCUAAUCCAUUUUUAGGCUGAGGCAGUUCUGAUGAAAGCACAGGUCUGGUUUGGUUGGAUCUCCUUGGGGUCCUUGGGUGUUUAGGUUCGGGUGCUGAGUUCUGGGAGUAAUAGUUUUUUUUUUGUAUAGCUAGCUACACUCAUAUGAUCCGGGGUUUGACGAUCUGCGGACAUGCCAUCUUAUACAUUCAAUCCAUCGCGGUGUAUAUUCGAUCUCAGAUGUAUAUAAUGGAGUUACUUCGUGCACGUGUUUCUUAGAUUUAGUCCAUAUGUGUUUCAUUUGAAGUUACUCUGACCCUCUUGAGAAGGCAUCACCGAAGGUUAACUUAAGAUUAUGGAAUCGCAGAGGACUGGUUGUGCCUGUGCAAACAUUAUGAAGAUGGAAUUUCUGUUUUCCCACAAAAUUUUAGUUCUGUUCUGGAUAUGCCAUAAAAAGAUUAUUUGCCCUGGGAUUUAUC
rnacentral:rRNA from 1 species